CAGGGGCGUACCAACUUUGUCCAAGGCCUCAGUUGUGAUGGAAUUAAAAAUGUCUACUAUCUUUCUAAGAAAUUUUGUAAUAGGUGACAACAUGGAUGAAUCUUGAGGACAUUAUGCUGAAUAUAAGAAGCCAGUCAGAGACAGAAAAUACUGCACAUGCCCACUCAUAUAAGGUAUAUACAAUCUAUAAAGUACAUAAACACUGAAAGAGUCACUUACGUAAGAUAUCUAAUAGAGUCAAACUCACAGAAGCAGAGAGUAGACUGGUGGUUGUGGGCAGAUGGAGGAAAGAGGAAAUGAAAGUUGCUAUUCAAUGAGUAUAAAAUUUCAGUUAUCCAAGAUGGAUAAGUUUUAUAAAUCUU